CUCGGGCGGGAGGGAGAGAGGAGGACACACGCCACAGAGGAGCCAGGCGUCGAGGACGCGCAGCGCGCAGCGAGCAGAGAGGCGCAGAGAAUGCGGCCCGGCGAGACGACGAAAAACGCCCGAAAAUGCCGAGGAAGACGGGGGAGACGACGGCGGGUCGAACCAGCCUGAAGGAAAACGGGAAUUCCCUUGACGUUUAGACAAAGGAGAAAAGGGAUCAUCUAAUCCACGCUAAAUGGGGUUGACAUUUAACCACAAAGGAGCGAUGAGUGGAAGGAUACUGGAGAUUCGUACUGCAACUCAGAUUUCAGACGUGAAUAUGGGGGUGAAGAUUUUCAAAUUUUGAAGACAAAGAAGACUGUGCUACGCCAGGAAACUGGAUAUUGCUGAAGUGGCGACAACGUUGUUUAACGUGAAGAUGGAACCUUUUUUUUUCCUUUUUGCAGUAAACCAAACGUUUACGGGAUGCAACCAUCCUUUUUUUUGACUGGACUUUGCCAUUUGGAUUUUUUCAUUUUUGAGAACAGGGAGACUGGAACAAAGUUGGUGGCUGUUUGGUGCACUUGAACAAUUGGUUAUUUUUUCGGGAGAACACAAAAUCAGCCUUUGUACAUUUGAUUUCGCAAAUGUUUUUAAAUAAAGUGUAUGCAAUUGCAUUUUUCCCUGGCUUUGUUUCAAUAACUAACGGUACAGAAAAUCACAAUGGGAUAUUGAGCGUAACAUUUUAAUAACGGUCCUUUUAGCUCGGCUGUUUUCAACAUUCCGCUAUUUCGUAAAACCAAUGAACUUGGUUAGCACUGGCUUUGUUUCAGCCAGUCAUCAAUGGAUGCUAAUUUCGGUGAGCGUCGUACUGGGUCGACGAAUCUCCUGAAGUACAGCCCUCUUGAUUCAGGAGGCUCUUUGUUUCUACAAAAUUAUUAAGAUUAAAGAAGAUUGUGUGAAA